CCUUACCUACUCUUGACAUCCUGCGAACUUGGUAGAGAUACCUUGGUGCCUUCGGGAACGCAGAGACAGGUGCUGCAUGGCUGUCGUCUGCUCGUGUUGUGAAAUGUUGGGUUAAGUCCCGUAACGAGCGCAACCCUUGUCCUUAGUUGCCAUCAUUUAGUUGGGGACUCUAAGGAGACUGCCGGUGACAAACCGGAGGAAGGCGGGGACGACGUCAAGUCAUCAUGGCCCUUACGAGUAGGGCUACACACGUGCUACAAUGGCAAGUACAGAGGGCCGCAAAGCCGCGAGGUGGAGCUAAUCUCACAAAGCUUGUCGUAGUCCGGAUUGGAGUCUGCAACUCGACUCCAUGAAGUCGGAAUCGCUAGUAAUCGUGAAUCAGAAUGUCACGGUGAAUACGUUCCC
rnacentral:rRNA from 1 species